UACGUAGGGGGGCGAGCGUUGUCCGGAAUUAUUGGGCGUAAAGAGCGCGUAGGCGGUCUGAUAAGUCGGUUGUGAAAGUCGGGGGCUCAACCCUCGAAUGCCGGUGGAUACUGUCGGGCUAGAGUGCGGGAGAGGCGAGUGGAAUUCCUGGUGUAGCGGUGAAAUGCGCAGAUAUCAGGAGGAACACCGGUGGCGAAGGCGGGUCUCGUGGGCCGAUGACUGACGCUGAGGAGCGAAAGCGUGGGGAGCAAACAG
rnacentral:rRNA from 1 species